rnacentral:rRNA from 1 species
UAGCGUAGGGACCAAGCGUUGUUCGGAUUUACUGGGCGUAAAGGGCGCGUAGGCGGCGUGUUAAGUCAGCUGUGAAAUCUCCGAGCUUAACUCGGAACGGUCAGCUGAUACUGAUGUGCUAGAGUGCAGAAGGGGCAAUCGGGAAUUCUUGGUGUAGCGGUGAAAUGCGUAGAUAUCAAAGAGGAACACCUGGAGGUGAAGACGGGUUGCUGGGCUGACACUGACGCUGGAUGACGCGAAAGCCCAGGGGAGGCAAACGGG